ACAGGAGUCAGGCGGUGGGUGAUAAAAUCAAUCGUCGAGAGGGGAACAACCCAGACUAACAGCUAAGGUCCCUAAGUUACAUCUAAGUGGAAAACGAUGUGGAGUUACUGUGACAACCAGGAGGUUGGCUUAGAAGCAGCCAUCCUUUAAAGAAAGCGUAACAGCUCACUGGUCUAGUGAUUCUGCGCGGAAAAUAUAACGGGGCUAAGAUGUACACCGAAGCUUUAGAUUCAAUUUUUAAUUGAGUGGUAGGAGAGCGUUCUAUUCAGCGUAGAAGAUGUACCGGUAAGGAGCGUUGGAGCGGAUAGAAGUGAGCAUGCAGGCAUGAGUAGCGAUAAUUGAGGUGAGAAUCCUCAACGCCGAAAACCCAAGGUUUCCUACGCGAUGCUCGUCAUCGUAGGGUUAGUCGGGACCUAAGUCGAGUCCGAAAGGGGUAGACGAUGGCAAAUUGAUUAAUAUUUCAAUACCAACAUAUAAGCGCGAUGUGGGGACGCAUAGAGUUAAUCGAGGUCACUGAUGGAAUAGUGGCUCGAAGGACGUAGGCUGUUAAGUAGGCAAAUCCGCUUAACAUUAGGCCGAGAUCUUACAGGCUCUUGACACUCUUCGGAGGAGAUGGAGAAUCGAUGAUACUGUCGUGCCAAGAAAAGCCACUAAGUUUAUUAUAUGUUGCCCGUACCGUAAACCGACACAGGUGGGUGGGAUGAGUAUUCUAAGGCGCGUGGAAGAACCCUGGUUAAGGAACUCUGCAAACUAGCACCGUAUCUUCGGUAUAAGGUGUGCCUACUUUUGUAUAUGAACUUGCUUCAAAAAGCGAAAGAGGUUGCAACAAAGAGUCCCUCCCGACUGUUUACCAAAAACACAGCACUUUGCUAACACGUAAGUGGAUGUAUAAGGUGUGACGCCUGCCCGGUGCUCGAAGGUUAACUGAUGAUGUCAGCGCAAGCGAAGCAUUUGAUUGAAGCCCGAGUAAACGGCGGCCGUAACUAUAACGGUCCUAAGGUAGCGAAAUUCCUUGUCGGUUAAAUACCGACCUGCAUGAAUGGCGUAACGAGAUGGGAGCUGUCUCAACCAGGGAUCCAGUGAAAUUGUAGUGGAGGUGAAAAUUCCUCCUACCCGCGGAAAGACGGAAAGACCCCGUGCACCUUU
rnacentral:rRNA from 1 species